AGUGGCGGACGGGUGAGUAAUGCUUGGGAAUCUGGCUCAUGGAGGGGGAUAACUACGGGAAACUGUAGCUAAUACCGCGUAGUAUCGAAAGAUGAAAGUGUGGGACCGCAAGGCCACAUGCCAUGAGAUGAGCCCAAGUGGGAUUAGGUAGUUGGUUAGGUAAAGGCUGACCAAGCCGACGAUCUCUAGCUGGUCUGAGAGGAUGACCAGCCACACUGGAACUGAGACACGGUCCAGACUCCUACGGGAGGCAGCAGUGGGGAAUAUUGCACAAUGGGGGAAACCCUGAUGCAGCCAUGCCGCGUGAAUGAAGAAGGCCUUCGGGUUGUAAAGUUCUUUCGGUGAUGAGGAAGGUGUUUGUUUUAAUAGGACAAGCAAUUGACGUUAGUCACAGAAGAAGCACCGGCUAACUCCGUGCCAGCAGCCGCGGUAAUACGGAGGGUGCGAGCGUUAAUCGGAAUAACUGGGCGUAAAGGGCACGCAGGCGGUGACUUAAGUGAGAUGUGAAAGCCCCGGGCUUAACCUGGGAAUUGCAUUUCAUACUGGGUCGCUAGAGUACUUUAG
rnacentral:rRNA from 1 species